AUAUGAAGAUGGCUUUUUUGAUUGCCAAGCAAAAGAUCCAUCAACUAUUGAGAUGUUUAUUCGCUAUUUAAUCUUGUGAGUAUUAUUACUUGAGCAAAAUGUUGUUCUUGUUUUUCUUCUUUAUUGUGUUCAUGACGCGAUUAAAAUAUUCACCCAAAUGCUAAUAUAAUCAAGUAAUAGUUCUCAAAAAUUCUGGAGUUUUGUCUGUUGCCUCCUGGAUCUUCUUUCUUGAUGUGGAAUCUUCUUAUUGUUAUAAUAUUACUUGACAUCGUUUGCUAAUCUGUUUUUAUGUUGUUCGCACCACCCAUACUGCUCCUUUUGAGGAUCAAAGCCUAAUAAUAUCAAGCAAAUUGGCUGAGUCUCUGAUUUGCCCAGCUUUCUAAUGUAAAUUGUGAGGUUUCCCACUUGUCUACUAAUAAGUGGUAAAUAUAAUGCAUUUCCUGCUUCCCAGAUAUGAUGUUAUCUUCAUAGUUGCUUUCUGUUUUUACUUAUGCCGCAUCGUUAGGUAUUGGAUACUGCCUCCUAUUGCGCUCUAGUCUCUCUGGUCAGUAAAAGAAGUUUGGAAAAUGUCGGCAUGUGCCAUUUCCUGAAUCUUAGUCAUGCUUCCUAACAUUGUAUACCUUCGUGUUUAUUAUACACAGGUCUUUUGGUAUAUAUGACUGGAUAUGAUAGGAUUUCCAUUGUUAAUGCCAUUCAACCUGUUCAAUGUUUGUGUGUAAUGUCUUCAAGAUUUUUUUAUAGGGUCGACUUAUUGAACUAUUUUCAAUGCAAAAAUUUGGAAAAAAUUAGUUUCAAUCAUUGAAUUUAUCAAAGCGAAGUUAUACGAACAUUCAUCAAAUUUGCCUAAUUUGAAAUUAUACUGUGGUAACAAGAUAAAGAAAGGAACUGGAAUAUGAACUUUAACAGGGAAAAAAAGGAAAGGAAAUGAGCAGAGGGACAUGGAGAGAUCUGGAUUGUAGAUCAAUGGAAAGGGAAAUGGUCAAUGAACCGAUUGAAACCAUAAGUAGGUGGUGAUCACGUGGUUUUGCAGCUCAAUUGGAGGUGGAGAAAGGGAAGAAGAUGAAAUUGUAGUGCAACAAGAAUGAAAAGGGAACAGUGGGAUCACAGUGAGAAGGGCAUCGGGUUUGUCUUACAAGAAUGGACUUUGAUCCGUCUACCAAACAGCCCUUUACGGAAUCUCAUCCAUCAUCAAGCACCUUGCUACUUCAAUUCUGUUGCCUUAUUAUUUUUUGCACUGCUCUUUUAUUAUCCGUUGUUUCAGCUUUGAAACUCGGGGAUAAUGGGCCUGUCCUAAC
rnacentral:lncRNA from 1 species